AAUAUUGCACAAUGGGCGCAAGCCUGAUGCAGCCAUGCCGCGUGUAUGAAGAAGGCCUUCGGGUUGUAAAGUACUUUCAGCAGUGAGGAAGGCAGGUACGUUAAUAGCGUGCUUGUUUGACGUUAGCUGCAGAAGAAGCACCGGCUAACUCCGUGCCAGCAGCCGCGGUAAUACGGAGGGUGCGAGCGUUAAUCGGAAUUACUGGGCGUAAAGCGCAUGCAGGUGGUUUGUUAAGUCAGAUGUGAAAGCCCGGGGCUCAACCUCGGAAUUGCAUUUGAAACUGGCAGACUAAAGUACUGUAGAGGGGGUAGAAUUUCAGGUGUAGCGGUGAAAAUGCGUAGAGAUCUGAAGGAAUACCGGUGGCGAAGGCGGCCCCCCUGGACAGAUACUGACACUCAGAUGCGAAAGCGUGGGGAGCAAACAGGAUUAGAUACCCUGGUAG
rnacentral:rRNA from 1 species